rfam:Microgenomates (Amesbacteria) bacterium GW2011_GWC1_48_10 TY22_C0014, whole genome shotgun sequence.
UAACUGUUCUAUGGUAGCGAAGUUCCUCGACAGGGGACAAUCCAUUGAAAAAUGGAAAAGAAAACUUGGCUAUAUGCUGGAACAACUGGAGUAUCUUGUGAUACUAUCGCCCAACGGAUAAAGCAGUCUCUGGUAGGUAGUAAUAAAGCACAAGUGCAGUCAAUCAGCAGGAAAGACUCCGAUGUGACAUCGGAGGAUCCUCAACGACUACACGCCAAGCCCCCGGUGUAACACCGGGGUGAAGAUAUAGUCUGAACUUGCAGGCGACUGUAAG